rnacentral:lncRNA from 1 species
GUGCAAUUGGACUACAAUAUAGUCUCUUUGGUAUUCAUGAAAUUAUUUGACGCUUGACACAGGUUAUUUGCUAAAACUAUUUGGAGGUAUUAUACUAGCCCUGCAGAACUCUUUUAUAUAACCUUUUGUCAAUAUGAUUCUUUUAGUGUUCAGCUAUGUCUAUAGUGCAAAAUAUUGUUGAGCUGAUUAUGAGACUUGCACCUAAUGUGCUUCAUGAUCUACAAGUGUUUUCAUCACAACUCGAUUCCUAAAUUAUAGUUUAUUUUAUUAUUUACUGAAGUCCUGUUGUUAUAUGGUUUCCGCAUAUUAUGACAUCUUGUUCAUUAACAACCUUUCCUAUGUGUUGGAUUCACUUGCACUUAAUGUUAAGUGUCUGUGUUUUAGCCUGCAAAACAGUUGUCUCUGAUAUUUACAUCAGAUAGCCAUAUUAUUCUUCUGUCCUUAUCAUUCUAUAGUUGGAACAAUAGAAGUUACUUGACUAAUCCUUGUUUUCCUAAUAUCUGGUAAUAAUUGUAGGGUUCAUUUACGCACAAUAGACAGUUGGACUGCCUAAUGUCAGCGAAGCUCAGGAAGAUCAACAAACUAUUCUGCUCCUCAUGCUAUCAUAAAAAGGAGAAAUAAUAGUUCAGUCCUUUUCACAAGUAGAUAUCUCUAUCUACCUUUUUCCAGUUUUGCCUGAUUGCAUUACUAGAAAAUUAAAUAUGGGCAACUUCACUUGAUAUGCAAUUCAUUUUCCUUAGUAUAAAAUGUGUUUAUGUAAGAUGGUGUUUUUUACUUUUAAGAAUAGACAAAAAACCAGUAGUUGAAACAAGCUUUGGUUGGGCCCAGGCAAAGCCCGGGCUAACCUUACUAGUAUUCUUACAAUAUGCAAGCUCUACACGACAAUGCUG